rnacentral:misc_RNA from 1 species
GAAAUGCGAUAAGUAGUGUGAAUUGCAGAAUUCAGUGAAUCAUCGAAUCUUUGAACGCACAUUGCGCCCCUUGGUAUUCCAUGGGGCAUGCCUGUUCGAGCGUCAUUUGUACCUUCAAGCUUUGCUUGGUGUUGGGUGUUUGUCUCGCCUCUGCGCGCAGACUCGCCUCAAAACAAUUGGCAGCCGGCGUAUUGAUUUCGGAGCGCAGUACAUCUCGCGCUUUGCACUCAUAACGACGACGUCCCAAAAGUACAUUUUUUACACUCUUGACCUCGGAUCAGGUAGGGAUACCCGCUGAACUUAAGC